rnacentral:tRNA from 2 species
AGUUCUUUAACUUAAAAGGUCAGAGUGCAGACUUGAUAAGUCUGUGGUAUUGGUUCGAUUCCAAUAAGAACUA